rnacentral:rRNA from 1 species
UACGGGGGGAGCAAGCGUUGUUCGGAAUUACUGGGCGUAAAGCGUGCGCAGGCGAUUAUGCAAGACAGAUGUGAAAUCCCCGGGCUCAACCUGGGAACUGCAUUUGUGACUGCAUAGCUAGAGUACGGUAGAGGGGGAUGGAAUUCCGCGUGUAGCAGUGAAAUGCGUAGAUAUGCGGAGGAACACCGAUGGCGAAGGCAAUCCCCUGGACCUGUACUGACGCUCAUGCACGAAAGCGUGGGGAGCAAACAGG